rnacentral:rRNA from 1 species
UACGUAGGUCCCGAGCGUUGUCCGGAUUUAUUGGGCGUAAAGCGAGCGCAGGUGGUUUAUUAAGUCUGGUGUAAAAGGCAGUGGCUCAACCAUUGUAUGCAUUGGAAACUGGUAGACUUGAGUGCAGGAGAGGAGAGAGGAAUUCCAUGUGUAGCGGUGAAAUGCGUAGAUAUAUGGAGGAACACCGGUGGCGAAAGCGGCUCUCUGGCCUGUAACUGACACUGAGGCUCGAAAGCGUGGGGAGCAAACAGG